GUGAACAGUGAGAUUAAUCGUGUGCUGUAUAGAAGAUAUGAAAGGCCCUUAGUAAGGAUUCUGUAGUCAUUUCCAAUUGUUGUUUCGAACCGUGUUUCGUUCUUCCGGUGUUUUGGAGGAGCUAGUAAGACCAUAGGGUCGAUUAGCGUUAUUGUGUAUCGUUGAUAUCUUGUUUUGUGCUAGCUGACCGCGGGAAAUGCGCUUGUUAGAGUGAACUACCACUAUCGUAUACUCGGGUUUUUGUAGUUCCGUUCUGAUAAAGCUCAUGGUUAAGUUCGAAGAACCGCUUGCAUGUGACUUGGGUGGUGUCUGUAAUUGAGGGUUCUAUGCUCUUUGCCGUUUAUGGCUCGGGCCAGCAGUAAAAUGCUUCCAGCUCUAAAGGUUAACGUUUCAUUGGUCUCCACUUUUUGCCGCGCCGUCUCCACUUUGUGCAUCAUAGUGGAAACAUACCAAUUGGAGUGAUAUCUUCCAUCCCUCCCACAUUUUUCACCUCAAUCUAAAGGAUCUCUCAUAUUUUGGCAUUUGUGAAUAUUCAAAUCUGAUAAACUACCACGUACCCCAAACAAGAGCAUUAAGGUCACAUUUAAAUCACUAUCACCUAACAGUCUAACACAGUAAUAAAUUCUU